UUUUUAAGUUGUUUGUGCUUUUAAUAAAUAUCAGAAAGUGUAAUGUUAAUAUUUAAAUGUACAAAUCUCUACUAUUGAAACUACAUUUUCACUAAAUCUAAUGACAAAAGACUGAAAUCAAGAAAAGACAAAACUUGGUGGUACCUUGUAACUGUUGCAAGAUAGCUAAGUCCCUAUCUCGUCCGUGAAAACAAAAACAAAAUAAUGAAUAAAGAAUAUGAUAAAAAGGGAAUGAUCAAAUACACUUUGAAUUCAUUGUUUUGGCAUGAAGAAAGCCAUAAAAUCCUAAGUACACAAACACCCUCUUCGAAUUAACGAUUCAGUAAUUUCAAUGACGAUGCCUAGAAUGACAGUUUAACUUGCUGACUGUGAGUUGGAAUUAGAAGACUUAGAAAAAAAGAUUUAUGAUAAAUAUCUGUGAAAAUUAUUUUGAAACAAAAUUUCAAAAUUUAAUUUCUUUUUCCUUUUUGAAGUACGCCCAAUAAUUUCUCAGAAGCUGCCUUAUAUUAGCUGCAGAGGAAUUUUGUGUUUGUUAGGGAAUUAUGACAUGCAAUAAUUAUAGUGAAAUUUGAAAAAAUAUUGAAGAUAAAAUUAUACACAAGCACUUUAUGUGGAAAA
rnacentral:lncRNA from 1 species